UACAGAGGGGGCAAGCGUUAUUCGGAAUUAUUGGGCGUAAAGGGCGCGUAGGCGGCUUGGCAAGUGGAAGGUGAAAUCCCUCGGCUUAACCGAGGAACUGCCCUCCAAACUGCUUUGCUUGAGGCCGGGAGAGGUGAGUGGAAUUCCCAGUGUAGCGGUGAAAUGCGUAGAUAUUGGGAGGAACACCAGUGGCGAAGGCGGCUCACUGGACCGGUACUGACGCUGAGGCGCGAAAGCGUGGGGAGCAAACGGG
rnacentral:rRNA from 1 species